rnacentral:rRNA from 1 species
AAUGAACGCUGGCGGCAUGCCUAACACAUGCAAGUCGAACGAAGGCUUCGGCCUUAGUGGCGCACGGGUGCGUAACGCGUGGGAAUCUGCCCUUGGGUUCGGAAUAACAGUUAGAAAUGACUGCUAAUACCGGAUGAUGUCGUAAGACCAAAGAUUUAUCGCCCAAGGAUGAGCCCGCGUAGGAUUAGCUAGUUGGUGGGGUAAAGGCCUACCAAGGCGACGAUCCUUAGCUGGUCUGAGAGGAUGAUCAGCCACACUGGGACUGAGACACGGCCCAGACUCCUACGGGAGGCAGCAGUGGGGAAUAUUGGACAAUGGGCGAAAGCCUGAUACAGCAAUGCCGCGUGAGUGAUGAAGGCCUUAGGGUUGUAAAGCUCUUUUAACCGGGAUGAUAAUGACAGUACCGGGAGAAUAAGCGCCGGCUAACUUCGUG